rnacentral:rRNA from 1 species
GUUUGAUCCUGGCUCAGAGCGAACGUUAGCGGCGGGGCCUAACACAUGCAAGUCGAACGGGCUGUAGCAAUACAGUCAGUGGCGCACGGGUGAGUAACGCGUAGAUAAUCUACCUUCCGGCGGGGGAUAACAUUCCGAAAGGAAUGCUAAUACCGCAUAAGACCACGGGGUCCUCGGGCCCUGAGGGAAAAGGUGGCCUCUCCUUGGAAGCCAUCACCGGAAGAUGAGUCUGCGUCCCAUCAGCUAGUUGGUAAGGUAAUGGCUUACCAAGGCGAAGACGGGUAGCUGGUCUGAGAGGAUGAUCAGCCACACUGGUACUGGAACACGGACCAGACUCCUACGGGAGGCAGCAGUGGGGAAUAUUGGGCAAUGGGCGAAAGCCUGACCCAGCCACGCCGCGUGAGUGAUGAAGGCCUCGGUUGUAAG